AGAAAAGGUUACUUAAGCAUAUGGAGAAUGCCUUGACUCGUAUGAGCGAAGAAGGACGCAGCAGGUUGCGAUAAGCCUCGGGGAGUUGCCAAGCAAACUUUGAUCCGGGGAUUUCCGAAUGGGGAAACCCUCUUGUUUUUUAGCAAGAAUCGUUAUCUGAAUACAUAGGAUAACGAAGCAAACCCAGUGAACUGAAACAUCUUAGUAGCUGGAGGAAUAGAAAUCAAUAGAGAUUCCGUCAGUAGUGGCGAGCGAAAGCGGAACAGUCUAAACCGAUGCACAGCAUCGGAAUGACCAAUAACCAAAUUCCAAUUUCCAAAUAAAUUUCAAAUUACCAAUAAUCAAUUUUCAAACAUUUUAUUGUUUGAUUAUUGUGAAUCGGGAUUUAUUAAUUGUUUGUUUCUUGGUGCUUGAUUAUUGGAAUUUCCGCUGCUGUGCAGCGGUGUUGUGAGGUAAUUUUACUCGUUUAAUCGGGGUUGCUUUAUAUUUUUUAGUAAAACACUUUGGAAAGAGUGGCCAUAGAAAGUAACAGCCUUGUAUGCGAAAAAAAAUAUAAAACGAUGUAAUUAUUCUCAAGUAGGGCGGGGUCGGAGAAGCCCUGUCUGAAUCCGGGAGCACUAACUUCCAAGACUAAAUAUUAUACGAGAUCGAUAGUGAACUAGUACCGUGAGGGAAAGGUGAAAAGUAUCCCGAUAAGGGAGAUGAAAUAGUAUCUGAAACCAUAUGUUAACAAAGAGUCAGAACGGUGUUUACACCGUGAUGGCGUACUUUUUGUAGAACGGGCCAACGAGUUAGUUUUAUACGGCUUGCAUAAAUCACUCUGUGGGAUAUGCACAGUGAAAGCGAGGCUUAACCGCCGAAUUUGUCGUAUGAACUAGACCCGAAGCCAGGCGAGCUACGCAUGAGCAGGGUGAACCCCAAGUAACAUUGGGGGGAGGCCCGAACCCACUGACCGUUUAACGUCAGGGGAUGACUUGUGCGUAGGGGAGAAAUUCCAAUCGAGCUUGGCGAUAGCUGGUUCUCUCCGAAAUAGCUUUAGGGCUAGCGUUCGGUAAAUGAGCAAGGGAGGUAGAGCUACUGGAUGAGUUCUCGCGGUUCGCCGUAGAGCGCUCAACCAAACUCCGAAUUCUUUUGUUUCUUAUCCGGGCAGUUAGAGUCUCGGCGCUAAGGUCGAGGCUCAAAAGGGAAAAAGCCCAGACCAUAAUCUAAGGUCCCUAAAUUCAUGUUAAGUGGGAAAGGAAGUGAAAUUUCUUAAACACCUAGUAGGUUGGCUUAGAAGCAGCCAUCCUUUAAAGAGUGCGUAAUAGCUCACUAGCUUAGAGAUUUCGCGUCGAAGAUGUAACGGGGCUAAACAUGAUACCGAAGAUAUGGACCUGUCGCUCUCGAGCGACGGGUGGUAGGAGAGCGUUCCUUGUGCGAUGAAGUCAAAGGCGUGAGCCAUGGUGGAGCGCAGGGAAGUGAGAAUGUUGGCAUGAGUAACCGCAAUGUGAGUGAGAUCCUCACACCCCGAAAAUCCAAGGUUUCCUGGGCAAUGGCAAUCAUCCCAGGGUUAGUCGAUCCUAAGGCGAGGCCGAAAGGCGUAGUCGAUGGACAUACGGUUAAUAUUCCGUAACCACAUUAAUAUUCGAUGGAGUGACGCAUUUUAGUAACUACUGCACAUUAUUGGAUUUGUGUAGCGUACUUAAGGGUGUAUGAUAGGUAAAUCCGUCAUACACUAAACCCAAGAGUAUGCUGGAAGUUGUUCUUCGGAAUGACGCACAGUAGCGAGCAAGGUGCCAGGAAAAGCUUCUAAGGUUAGUAUUAAUGUGAUCGUACCAAAACCAACACAGGUGGAUAGGGCGAGUAGCCCAAGGGGAACGAGAGAACCUUCGUUAAGGAACUCGGCAAAAAAUCUAGACGUAAGUUAGCGAGAUGUCUUUCCGGUACUUAAUUGUGCCGGACGCAGCUAAAGAUUCCCUAGCGACUGUUUAUCUAAAACACAGGUCUCUGCAAAAGCGCAAGCUGAAGUAUAGGGGCUGACACCUGACCAGUGCUGGAACGUUAACGGAAGCGGUUCACGCCAAUUCCCGAAGCGCCAGUGAACGUCGGCGAUAACUAUAAUCGUCCUAAGGUUCUGAUUCUACUUAGGUGGAAUCAGAAUAACUGGGACGAUUGAUAGUGAAGGAUAAACAAGCUAUGAAAUAACAUGCAAAGGAAAAGUAAACGCCUAUCCCGAUUAUUUUAUCGGGAUGUAAAUCAGCUAUAUGCUGGAAAGUCUGGAGUAUCUGAAGCUACUCGGUUAUAGAUUAUUUAUAGCCAGUAAAAAUGCUAUCAGUGCAGAUAAUCAGCAGGAAAGAUUCCGAUUUAUCGGAAAAUCCUCAGAGACUAAAAUGCUGAUCCGCCUCAGGUGGAAGAUAUAGUCCGUUCUCUAUGGCGACAUAGAGCUAACAAUAAGAGCGAAAUUCCUUGUCAGGUAAAUUCUGACCCGCAUGAAAGGUGUAACGACUGGGGAACUGUCUCAACGAAGGACUCGGUGAAAUUGCAAUGGGGGUAAAGAUGCCCCCUACCUGCGGCAAGACGAGAAGACCCCGUGGAGCUUUACUACAGCUUGGCAUUGAAUUAAGGUUCUAGCUGCCGAGAAUAGGUGGGAGACUUUGAGGCCUCAACUCAGGUUGAGGAAGAGUCAUCAGUGGAAUACCACCCUGUUAUUAUUUUAAUUCUAACCCUAGUCUGUUAAAAGAUAGGAAUAGCGAUUUAUGAUUUAUGAUUUAAGGAUAGGCUUAGUAAAAAUUCACAACAUAAUCUUUUUUAUAUUAUGAAUAUUCAUAAUUCAUAUUUCGUGUCUUACAUUCUUAUUUUUUACCAGACUGGGAACAGUGCCUGGUGGGUAGUUUGAGUGGGGCGCUCACCUCCUAAAUGGUAACGGAGGUGCUUACAAAGGUUGGCUAGGCCCGGAUGGAAAUCGGGCUGAUAGUACAAAAGCACAAGCCAGCUUUACUGAAAGACUAAUCAGUCGCUCAGUCACGAAAGUGGAAUUUAGUGAACCGACCAUCGCUUGUAGGAGCGUGGAAGAUCAUCAGAUAAAAGUUACCCCGGGGAUAACAGGCUAAUAGUGUCCAAGAGUUCACAUCGACGACACUGUUUGGCACCUCGAUGUCGGCUCAUCUCAUCCUGGGGCUGGAGCAGGUCCCAAGGGUAUGGCUGUUCGCCAUUUAAAGAGGUACGUGAGCUGGGUUCAGAACGUCGUGAGACAGUUCGGUCCCUAUCUACCGUGGGUGUAGGAAUAUUGAGAGGAGCGGCCCCUAGUACGAGAGGACCGGGGUUGGCGUACCUCUGGUGGAUCUGUUGUCGCGCCAGCGGCAUAGCAGAGUAGCUAAGUACGGAACAGAUAAGCGCUGAAGGCAUCUAAACGCGAAGCUGGCCUCAAAACAAGUAUUCCCUAUCAGAGCCGUUGUAGACUACGACGUUGAUAGGCAGGGUGUGAAAGUGUGGUAACACAUGAAGCUAACCUGUACUAAUAGCUCGAUCGACUUGAAUCUUU
rnacentral:rRNA from 1 species